CCUGCCUUGUGGUUUUGCUGCUCAGCCCCUAAGUGUGCUCCUGGCCAGCCCCCGCUUUCCCUCCCACACCUCCCCCCUUUCAUUUUUGGGGUUCUGGUCUGUCUUCGUGCCUUAGGAGCCAUACAGUCAAUUUGGAAAUGAAGUCACCACGUGGAGAUGAUUAUUUUCUUAAAAUAAAAUAAAAUAAAUAUAAAAUAGUAAAAAUGACAGAUUUUUGGUAUCCCCCCCUUGCUUUUCUGUUGAACCUCUGCACUAUUUUCCUGAGCACAUUCUUUUAGCCAGACCACCAGUCUCCUCCUGGGUGCCAGCGCAAGUUAUCCCCUGGGCCCUGCAAGUCUCCAGCAUUUACCUGGAGCUUUGUAUGGGGCAGCACAAACCCCUCACAGACCCAGGCCUCCUCUGGGCAGAUCCCUGCUUUGUCUUGUGUUGGUGGUCCUGCUUCUUUGCAUCUCAAAGUGCUUGAUGACACCAUUGCCUCCUACAAGUUUUACACUUCUUUUUUUUAUGCUGGUGGUGGCUAUGUAGCUGAGGGUGUCUACUGAAUGGGCAAAGAAGGAAAAGGAAAAAGGAAGUAGGAGCAAGAAAUAAGAAUAAGCAUGGCUUGGACCACCAUUUGCAGAGGCUGAACCUUCUCACCAAAUCGCGGUCCCUUGACAGGCGCACGCCGCAUCUCUGGAGCCCUGAUUCAUAUUCCUAAAAAAUGAAACCAAAACAUGCUUUGGAGCUAAGCAACGUCUCAAAUGUGUCACCAAAAAACAACGAGACCUACUCACUGACAGGCAGCAGCUGAGCAACUACCAGCUGGAGCCAUCGUCAGGAGCCUGCAAGCAUGGGGUUGCGGUGGACCUACGGCCAGGAUAUGCCUUCUGGAAAGUACCACCUUGGAGAAGCUCACUGACAUGCCCCUGCCAUGUGUUGGACACUGUGGUGUGCGUCUUUCUUUGUCACUGGCCAGUAAAUAACAACACACUGCAACACGCGGUGACUGACAUUCAAAGCAGGAGCCGCCAGGGCCACGUGAGGGCUGCUGGGGACCUGGAGAGCUCGCUGCAGCCCUCCACGGGCUGAGUGGAGGUGAGGUGAUGGUGCGUGACCCUGUGCAUGAUGCUUGCCGUGGUGGGGCAGCUGGGGCUGCUGCACUCAGUCUGGCCUGGUGGCUGCAAACAGCAUCGGCAGCUGCUUCUGGCCCUGCCCUUCCCUCACCUGAGGCAUGGCAAGGAGCUUUCUGCCUCAGUUUCUCCAUCUGGUGGGGCAAAGACUCUUCUUGCUGCCUGCCUUCCCGUGGUCAUGACAGCGGGGGGCUCCCACCUUGCUUGGUGCUGUCCAGGGAAGCACGACUGAGUAAGCAGGCGAGUGCCUUGACUCCAAACACAGCCUGUGUCUGAGGGGAAGCCAGCACAAAGGUGUUUUUGCCUGGAAAUGGGAUCCUGUGUGGGUGUUUUGGGGGAUUGACAAGAGAAGUUUUGAAGGACUUGGCUGAAGCAGCUUUUAGAGAGCACAGCAGAGGAAGUCCCUCCGUGUGACCAACUCGGCUUCAGGGAAUACUGCUCUUCAGCCUCUCAUUCAGGAAACAAAAUUGCAUUGCAGAAGUAUCUGCCUCUUUCUUUCCAAGCUCCUUCUACAAACUGUCUGAGAGAGCUUCUGGCCGGGGCAAAGAGGAAACUGAAAAAUUAGUGUGAUCUGUGAAUUGUGUUACCUGCACCUCUCUACAGGGUGCUGCCAAAAGCCCUCCUAACAUGCAUUUAAAAAAUUAGGGGGAAAAAAAACUCUUUCAAGUAACCGCGGUUCUUCAGGGUAGAAGAUAAAUGGGAAAAAAAAAAUCAAUUUCUUCACCACAGAGAGAGAGGCGUUGCGAUGGCCACCAGGGAUAUCCAGCAAUGUCAAUCCCAGGUUUGUCAGCUCCUGGAUGAGCUGAGGGCUGCGAUCACCUCUCCUUCAUCCAAAUCUGGUAAAAGGAACGACAAAUUCAUCUUUAUCACCCCUCUGCUGGGUUUAUAGCUGUCUUUUUGGCAAAUUGGGGUGUAUGGGGACAGGAACCACCCUGGCAGACUGCAGGUCCUGCUUAUGAGCCCGGGGAAGUCAGUGAAGCAAUCCUGGUCAGCUGCUGCGGAUGUGGGAUUUGGCUCAAGCGGUGGAUGUGAGGCUCUGGGGCUGGCGGGAUAGUUGCUCCUUGAUGUAAAUAAAGUGACAUAUUCAUUUUCAGUCGUGUGCCAGUGCUGGCACUGUGCUCCCCACCUGCAGAACGAAGGCGUUUGUGGGCUGCUUUCUUUCCAUGAACUGCUGGCAGUUGCACCUGUGUCCUUUCAGAGCAUGUAGGGGCUGGGGGACACGUUGGAGGGGUGUCAUGCCUGCUAGCAGAGGGGCCCACCAAGCCUGCCUUAUGGCCAGCUCAAUCCACAACCACCAGCAGGACAGUUUGAAGGCUCUUGGUGAGGGUCAUC